UGAUUCAGACCAUGAUUCUGAGUUAAUAUCAAGUGGAAUUUUUCGUCGCAAAAUUCAUGAUAUUUUUUUAGUUUUUUUGAAUUAUUUUCAAUUCUAUACUUUUGCGAUGAAAAAUUCCACUUGAUAUUAACUUAGAAUAAUCAGCUGAAUCAUCCCUCUCAGUAUUCGUUACGAUGUCACUUACACCCCGUACAACUUCAUACAGUAGCCAUACAAGUAGGUAUGGGUGUUAAUGACACCGUAACGAAUACUGAGGGGGAUGGUUCAGACCAUGAUUCUGAGUUGAUAUCAAGUGGAAUUUUCAGUCUGAAUAUUCAUAUUUUUUUUUGUGUUUUUUUUAAAUUAUUUUCACUUCCAUACUUUUGCGACGGAAAAUUCCACUUGAUAUCAACUCAGAAUCAUGGCCUCAAUCACCCCUCAAAAUUUUCGUUACGAUGUCACUAACACCCUGUAUAAACCAAACCUGAUGUUGGCCGCUCAUUCAAAGAAUGCAGCAGUGUGACAGCCAGCAAUCAAAAGUAACAAGAUGUCGAGGAAAUGCAGAGUGCAAUAAACUGUGUAGGAGAUUAUGAUUGCAAUAGAAUAAAAUCGACCAAGCCUGAAGUCCUUCAAUGCACGCAGCAGUGUGACAGCCAGCAAUCAAAAGUUACAAGAUAUCGAGGAAAUGCAGAAGGCAAAAAACUGCGUAGGAGAUUAUUAAUACAAUAGUAUUAUAUCAACCAAGCCUGAUGUCGGUAGCUUCUUCAAUGAAUGCAGCAGUGUGACAGCCAGCAAUCAAUAGUGACAAGAAUCUAGGAAAUACAGAAGGCAAAGAAGCAGAUGUCAUCAAAGAAGAUCUUUGUUCCUGCAAUGUUUCCGCAGACGAUACAUCCAACAGAGCGAAGUGGAAGGAAAAGACUCGGAAUAAAGACCCCACCACCAUAUGGGAACAAUGCAAGGGAGAG